GCAUGCAAGUCGUGCGUGGAUCUGGCUUUUUCAAUUCUUCGGAAGAGAAUGUUGCCAGUGAGAGCUGGCGAACGUGGUUAGUAAUAAAUGGUGUAAUUUGCCCCUUUGUUCGGGAUAGCCCGAGGAAACUCGGAUUAAUACCGGAUGUGUUCGGGUGCCACAUGGUACCCUAUAUAAAGGCGGGGAUUCUUCGGAACCUGUCGCAAAGAGAUAGGCCCAUUUCCUAUACAGCUUGUUGGUGAGGUAACGGCUCACCAAGGCUUACGGGUAGUUGGUCUGAGAGGAUGAUCAGCAACACUGGGACUGAGACACUGCCCAGACUCCUACGGGAGUGCUGCAUGUCGAGAAUCAUUGUCAAUGCACGAAAGUGUGAACAUGCGACGCCGCGUGGAGGAAGACGGCCUUCGGGUGUAAAACUCCUGUCA
rnacentral:rRNA from 1 species